CGGACCGGCGCACGGGUGCGUAACGCGUAUGCAACUACCUUUAACAGGGGGAUAACACUGAGAAAUUGGUACUAAUACCCCAUAAUAUCAUAGAAGGCAUCUUUUAUGGUUGAAAAUUCCGAUGGUUAGAGAUGGGCAUGCGUUGUAUUAGCUAGUUGGUGGAGUAACGGCUCACCAAGGCGACGAUACAUAGGGGGACUGAGAGGUUAACCCCCACACUGGUACUGAGACACGGACCAG
rnacentral:rRNA from 1 species